UAAGGAAUAUUGGACAAUGGAGGCAACUCUGAUCCAGCCAUGCCGCGUGAAGGAAUAAGGCCCUAUGGGUUGUAAACUUCUUUUAGACGGGACAAAACCCCUUUACGUGUAAAGGGUUGAUGGUACUGUCAGAAUAAGCAUCGGCUAACUUCGUGCCAGCAGCCGCGGUAAUACGAAGGAUGCAAGCGUUAUCCGGAAUUAUUGGGUUUAAAGGGUGCGUAGGCGGACUAAUAAGUCAGUGGUGAAAGCCUGCAGCUUAACUGCAGAAUUGCCAUUGAUACUGUUAGUCUUGAGUACAGUUGAGGUAGGCGGAAUGUGUCAUGUAGCGGUGAAAUGCUUAGGUAUGACACAGAACACCGAUUGCGAAGGCAGCUUGCUAAGCUGUAACUGACGCUGAGGCACGAAAGCGUGGGGAGCAAACA
rnacentral:rRNA from 1 species